CCUACGGGAGGCAGCAGUGGGGAAUAUUGGGCAAUGGGCGCAAGCCUGAACCAGCCAAGUCGCGUGAAGGAUGAAGGAUCUAUGGUGUGUAAACUUCUUUUAUAGGGGAAUAAAGUGAGGAACGUGUUCCUUUUUGUAUGUACCAUAUGAAUAAGCAUCGGCUCACUCCGUGCCAGCAGCCGCGGUAAUACGGAGGAUGCGAGCGUUAUCCGGAUUUAUUGGGUUUAAAGGGUGCGUAGGUGGUUAAUUAAGUCAGCGGUGAAAGUUUGUGGCUCAACCAUAAAAUUGCCGUUGAAACGGGUUGACUUGAGUAUAUUUGAGGUCGGCGGACUGCGUGUUGUAGCGG
rnacentral:rRNA from 1 species